UCCAGACAACCUCGGGAAACUGAGGCUAAUCCGGAAUAGGGCUCUCAUCCUGGAGUGGAGAGAGCCUGAAACGCUCCGGCGCUAUAGGAUGUGGCUGCGGCCGAUUAGGUAGACGGUGGGGUAACGGCCCACCGUGCCAGUAAUCGGUACGGGUUGUGAGAGCAAGAGCCCGGAGACGGUAUCUGAGACAAGAUACCGGGCCCUACGGGGCGCAGCAGGCGCGAAACCUUUACACUGCACGCCAGUGCGAUAAGGGGACUCCAAGUGCGAGGGCAUAUAGUCCUCGCUUUUUGCGACCGUAAGGUGGUCGCGGAAUAAGUGCUGGGCAAGACCGGUGCCAGCCGCCGCGGUAAUACCGGCAGCACGAGUGAUGACCGCUGUUAUUGGGCCUAAAGCGUCCGUAGCUGGCCGCACAAGUCUAUCGGGAAAUCUCUCCGCUUAACGGAGAGGCGUCCGGUGGAAACUGUGUGGCUUGGGACCGGAAGACCAGAGGGGUACGUCUGGGGUAGGAGUGAAAUCCCGUAAUCCUGGACGGACCACCGGUGGCGAAAGCGCCUCUGGAAGACGGAUCCGACGGUGA
rnacentral:rRNA from 1 species